rnacentral:rRNA from 1 species
UACGGAGGGUGCGAGCGUUGUCCGGGAUCAUUGGGCGUAAAGGGCGCGUAGGUGGCGGGACAAGCGUGCGGUGAAAGCCUGGGGCUCAACCCCGGGUCGGCCGUGCGAACUGUUUUGCUUGAGCACUGUAGAGGCAGGCGGAAUUCCGGGUGUAGCGGUGGAAUGCGUAGAGAUCCGGAAGAACACCGGUGGCGAAGGCGGCCUGCUGGGCAGUAGCUGACACUGAGGCGCGACAGCGUGGGGAGCAAACAGG